rnacentral:rRNA from 2 species
GACGAACGCUGGCGGCGUGCCUAAUACAUGCAAGUCGAACGAACUCUGGUAUUGAUUGGUGCUUGCAUCAUGAUUUACAUUUGAGUGAGUGGCGAACUGGUGAGUAACACGUGGGAAACCUGCCCAGAAGCGGGGGAUAACACCUGGAAACAGAUGCUAAUACCGCAUAACAACUUGGACCGCAUGGUCCGAGCUUGAAAGAUGGCUUCGGCUAUCACUUUUGGAUGGUCCCGCGGCGUAUUAGCUAGAUGGUGGGGUAACGGCUCACCAUGGCAAUGAUACGUAGCCGACCUGAGAGGGUAAUCGGCCACAUUGGGACUGAGACACGGCCCAAACUCCUACGGGAGGCAGCAGUAGGGAAUCUUCCACAAUGGACGAAAGUCUGAUGGAGCAACGCCGCGUGAGUGAAGAAGGGUUUCGGCUCGUAAAACUCUGUUGUUAAAGAAGAACAUAUCUGAGAGUAACUGUUCAGGUAUUGACGGUAUUUAACCAGAAAGCCACGGCUAACUACGUGCCAGCAGCCGCGGUAAUACGUAGGUGGCAAGCGUUGUCCGGAUUUAUUGGGCGUAAAGCGAGCGCAGGCGGUUUUUUAAGUCUGAUGUGAAAGCCUUCGGCUCAACCGAAGAAGUGCAUCGGAAACUGGGAAACUUGAGUGCAGAAGAGGACAGUGGAACUCCAUGUGUAGCGGUGAAAUGCGUAGAUAUAUGGAAGAACACCAGUGGCGAAGGCGGCUGUCUGGUCUGUAACUGACGCUGAGGCUCGAAAGUAUGGGUAGCAAACAGGAUUAGAUACCCUGGUAGUCCAUACCGUAAACGAUGAAUGCUAAGUGUUGGAGGGUUUCCGCCCUUCAGUGCUGCAGCUAACGCAUUAAGCAUUCCGCCUGGGGAGUACGGCCGCAAGGCUGAAACUCAAAGGAAUUGACGGGGGCCCGCACAAGCGGUGGAGCAUGUGGUUUAAUUCGAAGCUACGCGAAGAACCUUACCAGGUCUUGACAUACUAUGCAAAUCUAAGAGAUUAGACGUUCCCUUCGGGGACAUGGAUACAGGUGGUGCAUGGUUGUCGUCAGCUCGUGUCGUGAGAUGUUGGGUUAAGUCCCGCAACGAGCGCAACCCUUAUUAUCAGUUGCCAGCAUUAAGUUGGGCACUCUGGUGAGACUGCCGGUGACAAACCGGAGGAAGGUGGGGAUGACGUCAAAUCAUCAUGCCCCUUAUGACCUGGGCUACACACGUGCUACAAUGGAUGGUACAACGAGUUGCGAACUCGCGAGAGUAAGCUAAUCUCUUAAAGCCAUUCUCAGUUCGGAUUGUAGGCUGCAACUCGCCUACAUGAAGUCGGAAUCGCUAGUAAUCGCGGAUCAGCAUGCCGCGGUGAAUACGUUCCCGGGCCUUGUACACACCGCCCGUCACACCAUGAGAGUUUGUAACACCCAAAGUCGGUGGGGUAACCUUUUAGGAACCAGCCGCCUAAGGUGGGACAGAUGAUUAGGGUGAAGUUC